ACAAUCCUGGUCUAGUGAGCCACAUUCCAGUUGGUGUUAGAAUACUGGACGUCAAUGACAACCCUCCAGAGCUCGCCAGAGAGUAUGACAUAGUUGUCUGUGAAAAUGCAAAGCCUGGUCAGGUAAUUCAGACUAUCACUGCAACUGACAAAGAUAAUACUGCAAAUGGGGCAAGAUUCCAUUUUUCCCUUGACGAAGGGCUUUCUUUGAAUCCCAACUUUACUCUGACGGACAAUGAAGAUAAUACAGCCAGUAUCCUGACAAGACGAAGGAGAUACAGUCGAACUACUCAAGAUAUCUAUUACCUCCCGGUUGUGAUUUCUGAUGGUGGAGUGCCCCCUCUCAGCAGCAGCAGUACUCUCACAAUUAGGGUUUGUGCAUGUGAGAGAGAUGGACGA